AUUAAAAAAAAAAAAAAAUUCUGGCCAUGAAGGUGAACAAUCCUGUAAAAUGAGGCGAGGAAAAUCAUCCUAAAAAAAACACUAAAUGCACAAAACAGAAUGAUAUAAAUAAUUGUUUCCAAACAGGUUUCCAUUGAUCCCUGGGACAGGAGACAGUGCUUAUACAUCCCCAAAAGGCCGUCUGGAACAUCUUAAGAAGUGUGAACGGGGUCGCUGGUUUGGCAGAUUCCCCUCAUUCGCCCUGUUUGGAUCAGAACUCAGAGAGAAAAGAUGCAUCAAACACAUGAUGAAAUCCACAGGUACACCUGCUUUAUUUUCAGAUUUAUAAUGUGCAAAAACAAAAAUACAAACAAAAGCUGCCCUUACAAAGCAUAAACAAAGUGCGUUAACAAUAAUAAGUAAAUAUAGUGGAAUACAACACAUGCAGUACACAUAAAAGGAAUUUUGAUCUCCAUUUAAUCACACUGCUGUUGAGAAACAAUUGAGACAUUGUUUUUCAUUUAAGAUGUCGUUCAUGUUUUUUCUAUCCUUUGUUAAAAUUAAAUUCACAUAGAAAUAAAAAUAAUAAUAAUGUGGAGCA
ensembl:lncRNA